rnacentral:lncRNA from 1 species
AGGAAGCUAAUAUGAUAACAUUAAACUUGAUAAGUUACACCAAAAUCUCAAGAGUAGUUUGAGACUUCGAAAACUGUACAAAACAAAAGGUUAGGUGUAACUACAACAUUAUAUUUUCCAAAAAUAUUUACUUGACGCGCCCAUUCGAUCCUCUACGCGUCUCCAACUUUAGUCACCUGAAACUGUUAGAUAUGGGAUGAGCAUAUGAAAUACACUCAGUGUGGGAACAUGCAAUAAUUGUCCAUGUUAAUAAAAUGGUCAACACAUAUGCACUGCACUGUAAUACUGAUAACUGAAAUUCGCACGGUGGCAUACCAAGGACUUUAAUGUCCUGGACCCAUUGAGCGGGCCCCUGGCGAAUAGGUUGCAACCCUAACUGUAACAUGAAAUCGCAUUGUGGCAUACCAAGGACGGUGAAGUCCUGGACCCAUUGAGCGGGCCCCUAGCGAUAUAACUGAAUUUACAACACAUAUGGCAAACACACAAUAUUAAAAUGGACAAAGAUUAACCACAUCAUGAACUGAAAUAAAUCCCACACCUGUGAUUUGAACUAUGAAAUUGACUGCGAGAAAUUAAAGUUCACGUUCCUAGUCGCGCCGCACCUAGUCAGAUAAAUUCAAAUAAUAAAACAUAAGGGUCUAAUGAAAUGAGAAAAUAAGUUAAAUCUUUAAAAUUUAUUCUUGUAAGACCAUUAUUGAUCUAAUGAGUAAAAUAUAUUUUCUCAUGAAAAUUUGAAUUGAGAAAUGAUUUAAAAUGAAAUCCAAUUUAAUUAGAGUAAAAUUAAAAUCUGAAGCCCAACUAAUAAUUAAACAAAGCCCAACCAUCAUAAAUUAAAUCUGAGCCCACUAAAUUAGUUAGGCCCAACCCAUUUUUCUCUCUUGCCCUAGCUUAAAUCCUACACAUACAUCUCCAACACACAUACUUCCACUUACGCAGCCCCCCCAACUUCUCCUCUUCCUCUCUCUCUCGUCUCCCCUGCCGCCCCGCCGGAUGCCGCCAGUCGCCGGAGGCCGGCGGCUCUGGCCUUUUCUCUCUUCCCUCUUCUUCCUAUCUCCCUCUCACCCCUCACUUCUCGCCCUCCUCCCUCAUCUCUCUUCCUCCUCCCCUGCGCCCGUCCUCGCCAUACCAGCCGCGGCCGCGCCCUCAUCUCCUUUCUCCCCUUUUGGCCGACAGCAGCGGCCGUCUGCACCGCUCCCAGGUCGACAUCAGCUGUCCUAGCCACCACUUCUCUGGACCGGCACAGCAGCGGCCGAGACCGUGCCGCCGCCCCUGUCUUCUGUCAGCAAGAGCGCACGGCGGCGCCAUCCCCCUGUUCUAUGCCAUAAACUCCCAUCUCCAGUUUCUUCUCCUAUUUUUUUCCUUUUCUAUGUAAUUAGCAAUUAUGCCUUUUUGAUUUACAGAAGGAACAGAAAAAAAAUAGAUAUAAGCAUGCUUGGAUUUGAAAACAAACUUUUGGAAUUUUUGGUUUUGGCAUGAAGGAAAAUAACGAAGAAAAUGAUUGAUAUACUGAAAUGAAAUAACUUUACAAAAGUUAUUAAAAUUACCAGCUUGGAUUUUGUAGUGAGGGAGUUAUAUGCUGUAGGAAAACAGAUGAAGAAAAAGCGAUUUGGGGAUGAUGAAGUGGAGUUUAAAUAGACUGAAAUUACGUAGGGUGCAAGAAUUAAGUUAUGCUUCUUCAAGCUCAGAAUAUGUGGCUGGUAAGAAAACACUGAAAUUGUGGUUAAGGGAGCUUUACUUUCUCCCCAAGAAUUCGAAGUUGUGGCUGAGGAAGAAAUCAAAUUGUGGCCAAGUAAAUUGUACGUGCUC